UGAAUCAAAGUUUAUAAAAACUCUUCAUAUGCCAACUAACGGCACAGGCAUUGCUGUCAUGUGCAUGCAAACGCCGCGAAAGGGGAGUGAAUUUCUGGUGCGUGAAUGUUUAUUCGAGUUUUUAUUUUCGUUUUGAUGGAGGUAUGGCUGUAUAUAAAGCAAGGUUAAAAGAAUUUGAUGACGUUUUGGAACAGGAAGAAAUUAAUUUGAAGAAUCUCAAGCAACUUUGUUUCAAUGGCAUUCCAGAUGAACGUGGCAGAAGAGCACUUUGUUGGAAACUGCUUCUGAAUUAUCUUCCUUUGACUCGUGCAUCAUGGAGCGAGACUCUUGCCAGGAAGAGGGAACUGUAUAGACAGUUUAUAGAAGAAAUGAUUGUAAUGCCAGGAGCAACCCAGAUUGAUGGCAGAAGAGUUGAUGUGACAUUUGCUGAUCAUCCUUUAAACUCAAAUCCAGAUAGCCAGUGGCAGACAUUUUUCAAGGACAAUGAAGUACUUUUACAAAUUGAUAAAGAUGUAAGACGUCUGUGUCCCGACAUAUCGUUUUUUCAACAAGCUACUGACUUUCCCUGUCAGCAGGUUGUGCACAGUAGAGGCGUUAAACGCUUGCACAAACGAGUGCAACACACUGUUCUCAAAUCUGCUAAUGUUGAGCGGAAGGGUCUUGGUGUUACCAAGAUAGCACUCUCAGUGAAGAAGGCUCCUGAAGACUAUGCACCAAUGCCAGAGGGAAUGGAAGCGCACUGGGAGGUGGUGGAGAGAAUUCUGUUCCUGUACGCAAAGCUGAACCCUGGACAGGGAUAUGUUCAAGGAAUGAAUGAAAUUAUUGGGCCCAUCUAUUACACCUUUGCUUGUGACCUUGAUCUGGACUGGAGAGAACAUGCGGAGGCAGACUGUUUCUUUUGUUUCACAAAUUUAAUGGGAGAGAUAAGAGACUUUUUCAUCAAAUCACUGGAUGAAGCAGAAUGUGGGAUAAACGGAAUGAUGUCGAAACUAGGGGAACAGCUUAAGAGUACUGAUCGUCCAGUCUGGUCUCAGCUGCAGCAGCAAGAACUUUGCCCACAGUACUAUAGUUUCAGGUGGCUGACGUUACUUUUGUCGCAAGAGUUUCCACUGCCCGAUGUACUUCGCAUCUGGGAUUCUCUGUUUGCUGAUGAAUGUCGUUUUGACUUUCUCAUUUACAUCUGCUGUUCUAUGAUCAUAUUGCUUAGGAAGGAACUUCUUAGCGGAGAUUUUCCAGCAAAUGUGAAACUCUUACAGAAUUUCCCGUCCAGCGACAUCCAAGUGUUGCUGUCUAAAGCUGCAGAUUUGGCGGGUCUUGGCUAAGUACGUCCAGCUGUCUCUUUUAUCGUCACAUGAAUUCAAGUUGGAGGACAAUCAGAUUAGUUUUCCAGUAUUUUUUCGCUUUGCUGAGUUAUCUACAUGGCGUCGUCAUUCAACUGUGAACACGGAGCGGUGUAAUUAGCUAAUUUUUGCACUGGCCGGCAACUUUCCUUCAACUUUGAUUCAUCUCCUGUCUCGCAGCUCAGAAAUGGCAAUCACUUUCCACGACUAUUUUUCAAGACCAGCUUCCUUGUACUGGACUGAAAUAAGUACAAGUGUUUUUAAAUCUACAAAUUCAUUUACAUCAAUUCUUCUCUUGAGGGUAAAGACGGUCGAAGACUGAAAGUGACAACUGACUUCCAUAUAAACUAGAGCCUAGGUUAGGGAUGAAUGGAUCUGUACAGGUUAGCUCAACGAUAAUAUAUCUGGUGUGGUUCUUUAGUAAUAAUUUAAAAAAACAAAAACAUUUGAAUCUGGACUGACAUUUCUGUUAUUUUCUUUAGACACUGAAACUUAUUGCGACUGUUUCAUUACUAAACCUUAACAAUUCACUGUUAAUUAUCACCUUCUCAUUUUAUUUUAAGCUCCAGUUAUUACAGCAUUACAAAUCGAAUCCUUCAGACGCUGUUUAAGAAAUAUCUCGCGUAAAAGGACCUGCCUUGUCAGAAGAACUUCGGUAAAAGAAUUGUGUCCUGCUAUCAUACGACUCUUCAACGGUGUAAUCUGUAAUCUUAUGGAUGUUGUCUUGUAUUAAAGGAAGGUUAUUUAGUUUUGUGAGAAUCCGCAUGGAAAUGGUUAUAUAAACGAAAAUAUUUUCAUGUGUAAUUGUACUAAUCUUGACUCUCCUAGUACGUCUUAAUGUAGAGAAAUCUCUGUUGCUAAGGACAAAUUUAAUCUCUAUGUACCAUACGUGUUAAAAUAACAAAACGAUAUCACGUAACGGGCAGUUGCAUUCAGCAGCCUCGUGACGUGUUCAGCUGGUCAGAUUAAUUGAUGUCAAACCCCUUUCGCCCUUCAUAAAACUACCAAUCAUGCUGUGGUAUCAUUGUCCGAUUUGUAAAAGGAUUCCAAAGAUAAAGAACAACAGCUUGUGAUCAAGACGCGGCUGAUUCUGUUGCACCAAUAACGAGCGAUCGUAUCCAACAACAAUACUCGUAAUGAGUGAGGCCAUUCAAAAAUGGCGCCGACUCGGAUCCUGCCCCCUGGUGGGAGUUUGACGCUCCAUUGCAGUGAUAUAUGGUAUGGUUUGGAUUAGUUGACUCACGGUCUUCGCCCUUCUUUUUAUUUAAUAGGAAUAAUCAGUGACUAUUCACUGUUGUCUCAUCAUCUAUCAACAACUUCGGAAAAAAUUUGUAACACCUAUUUUUAUUCCGGUUAGAGUAACAGAAAUUACAAAUUAAUGACAGAAGAUGACUGUCUUCUCGGUUGUUGUGCCAUGUGGUCUUGUAGACGUUUAUCGACGUUUCGCAGGUUCUUACUGCCUCCAUCAUCACGGCUGAAGCCCUGAAGUUGGGGAAGCUUGUUUCUCCUAAACGUUGUGUAAACGACAUCAGGUUUCAUUUACAGCUGUAAGAUUUUUAUCGUUAUAAAAUAAAAGAAUGUACUAAAAUACUUUGCGUAAAAUUUGCGUAAAAUUGUAGUUUCCAAUUUUGUGUCUACGCUGUUUUAUUCUAAACUGCAAACAACAAAUCGAUUAGUCCAGAAUCAAAUAAUCAUGUAGAAAAGAAUAAUUAUCCUAAGCCUACGCCUUCAACAAAUUUGGUGGAAGGUAUUGCACGUGUCUGUCACUUCGUACUUGGCCAAGACUCACACUGACCAGGGGGGGAAAAUGUCGAAGGAAUAAAAUAAUUAUUUUUAAAGGGCCUGUUCCUUAACAUAUGACAACUUAAAUUGAAUAUUUAAAUAUACAGCAUGUCGCAAAAAGAUGUACAAACAUUUAACGAAUCAAAUUGAUAACAUUUUAUACAUCAGCAUUAACAUUUGGUAAAUUAACGAAUCUGGUGUAGGUGUUUAAAAUGACCACCGUCAGCUUCGUAGCUCAGUUGACGGCGGUGAGCAAUUGAUUUAAAAUGGCCACACAAAAUUGACGCUGCGUGUGUAUACGUAUUUUGAGACAACCUGUGUAUAUGACAUAUAUUUAUCUUAUAAACAGUGCGGCAAAGAGGAAACAAGGUGAAGAAGAUAUUUAUUUUCAUUCGCUCCUUCAAGGAAACUGGCUUCAUAAUACAGCACACAGAGUGAUUUUCACAAGAAUUUUUUAUUCCAGAAUGUACGUUCGAGAAGAAAUGGAACAUGAUUAAAAUGUUUGUUCUCGCA